rnacentral:rRNA from 1 species
UCCCGGCGCCACAAGUAGGGACCAGGGUUAUUGGGCCUAAAGCGUUCGUAGCAGGUCGUGUAAAUCUCUUGUGAAAUCGUUGGGCUUAACCUAACGGCGUGCAGGAGAGACUGUACGACUUGAGACCGGGAGGGGUUGAGAGUAUUCCUUGGGGAGCGGUAAAAUGCUAUAAUCCUUGGAAGACUACCUGUGGCGAAGGCGCUCAACCAGAACGGGUCUGACUGUGAGGGACGAAAGCCAGGGGA